rnacentral:rRNA from 1 species
UACAGAGGGUGCGAGCGUUGUCCGGAAUCACUGGGCGUAAAGGGCGCGUAGGUGGCGCUCCAAGUCCGUGGUGAAAGCUCGAUGCUUAACAUCGAGUCGGCCACGGAGACUGGAGGGCUCGAGCACUGUAGGGGCAGAUGGAAUUCCGGGUGUAGUGGUGAAAUGCGUAGAGAUCCGGAGGAAUACCAGUGGCGCAAGCGGCGCUCUGGGUCACAUCUGACACUGAGACGCGAAGGCAUGGGGAGCGAACGGG